GUUGCCUUCUCGGUGACCGACGGUAAGCUCCAAAUGUAUUAAUAGCUCUCUUCAUCUUCUUACUAAUUAUCUUCUUUGACUCCACUGCUUUAACAUGUCCCCAUAUAUCUCACAAAAUUUUUGUUUUUGUUAGCUGCUUCUCCUACAUUAUAUAUUAUCAUUCUCCAUAAAUUUCAGCAAUAGACUUCAGAAUUUUUAUUAAAAGAUUUUUUAAUUUAGGUGGGUAAGAAAGAAGGGC
rnacentral:misc_RNA from 1 species